AUCGUAGUUUUAAGAAUGCUUGAUGGAGAUCUCUCCCUACUUGUUCACCUUUCCCUCCCUUUGCCCUUUGGAUGUCACUAUGUCACCUGUUCACCAUCCUAGGCAGGACUUGACUUUCUAAUUUAAAAAGCUAGGGGAGAAAGCCUAUUUAAAAAUAAAUAGCAAUAUUGUAUAGGGCUAUAAGCAGCAAAAAAAAGGACACAAACCCUGCCUGUUUUCCCACCUUUUCAGGUCACCUUUAAACAGGACUUAAAUUUUCUUCAUUGGUCUUAAUAGUGACAUAAGUAAAGGACAUUCUUUUUUAUAUAAAAUUUUAAAAUUGUAUUUGUGUGUAAAAUGAUACAGAUCUUCACAGGGAAAUAAUGACAAAAUGCAGCAAUAGCUUUAAAAACAACAGUACAAUUCACAACUUUUAGGCGGGUAAAGAUUUUAAUCUCAACACUUCUCUAAGUGAGUGACAUUUCUCUUUGAAAAAAAUUUUAUUUUUCAAAGUCAAACUUUGCUUUCCCAUAUCCAAGCUGAUAUUAUAUUGGCAAUAAGAAUAAAGGGCAUACCAAUGAUGUACUGUUAUGUUUUAAGAUCCAUGCCCAUGGCUGCUGUGACCACAAGACUUUUGGAAAAAUUAAAAUAACACAGGGAGCAAAGAGCCAAGGGAAUAUUAUAUUUGCAAGAGGAGGAAGAAGAUGUGAUUUCAGUGUUCAUUCAGACCAGGCUCUGAAGCAACAUGAUCUAAAACAUUUUCAGAGCAGCUUAGGAACAAUGUUAAUCAAACAACGUUUUUCUCAGUUCUGGAUUCCCCUGAGUAGAGACUUAUCCAAUUUUGUGACAUGCAUAAAUGAAGGAGUAGGAUGACAACAACAAACUCACUUUUACUAGUAAAAUAACUAGUACUUGAACUUGAGCCUCUGGAGAUUGAAUCGUGCUUGUUUAAUGUUUGGAAAGAUGACAACCUUAUUUUAACAAGUAUUCAUUAAUGUAAUGUUGUGAGAUAAUUUUAUUAACAUAUGAUACUGAAUACCACUAUGCACAUCCCUAUGCAUAUUUGUUAGGAGUGCAGCUGAAGGUAAAAGGCCGCAUGAAUAACCUGAAGUAACGAUGCAAGCCAAACAUCCUACCUCCUAUCUGAGAGAGAAAUCGAAGGUGCAAAACUUUCCGAUUUUUAAGACUCUUGUGCUCUUAUACCACUGCGUAUAAGAAGUUGUCAUAGUUACUGCUUUUGUUGGGUAGUUACUAAUAGUUUCAAGGAUGCUGUGAUGUGUAUGCAUACCAGUGCCCUUCAUUAAAACAGGAUAGACCUGAUGAUGAGUAAUGGUCCCAUCCACUAGUGCCAUUAUGUCUCCAACAGCAUAUUAAGCAGAGGCCUGUGAUUGGGAACAACAUUUUUUUUCCCCUUUUAUUUGUACUUGACAAUAAUCUCUUUGUGAAAUCAUGAAUGUAUUUUACCAAAUAAAAUGUAAGUGAAAAAAUGUA